CAGACCCCCGCCACCACUCCAAAACCCCAUCACUAUGACUUCAUAAAGGAUGACAUGCAAUAAGAUGACACUGCCAUGUUGGAUAGAUCAUACAGAGAGGGACAUGCCUCAGGAGCCCUAGCUCUUUAAGCCCCCCGCUAUAGGUGUCUCUCCAGCAUCAACUGCCAAACAGAAUUUAAUCGUUGCUUUGGUUUACAGAAUGGAGACCAUUCAUACAAUCAUGGACAUUUCUUCCACAAAUAUCAAAUUUCGGCUCUGCUGCCUUACUUCAAUGCCCUUUGCAAAUGCAACAUUUUGUGUCCAUGCUUUGUCACAGUGAAUCUUUAUGGCCUUUGUUGUAUGGAACUUUUUAAACAGCAGCUGAAUAUACAUAGUACCAGUGAUGUAUUGGCCUCAAAUGGAGAGAUGGGGAGCAGAGCUACAACUAACAUUCACCUGUGCACAAUGAUAAGUGUCAUGAGUGCUGCCUGGCUGCUGGCAGGUGUAACAUACAUCACGGUUUUAGGGAUGUUGAAGCGAACAGAAGUGUUUUUAACAACAUAAACCUCGAUGAAGAUGUGUGUUUAAACAAAGUCCUAAUUUCAAACCUUAGGAGGUAAAGAAAAAAUCCAGUGCCUUGAAGCAGGAUGUUGUAGCAUUUUUCUUCUUCACAACCAUUUCCAAAUGCUGCACUGUGAUAUUCCGAUACUUCUGGCUGAAAACCUGAGCACUGGAAGUCACCCGGAUGGUAACAAGUCCAGAUACAAAAUUCCUGCAGGUGCUAACUUGGUAUGACCCACAAAACUGUACUUUCACACUUGUCCACCCUCCUGUGAGCUCAAAAACGAUGUAAGGCUUAUAUGAUGCA